rnacentral:rRNA from 1 species
UACGGAGGGUGCAAGCGUUAUCCGGAUUUACUGGGUUUAAAGGGUGCGCAGGCGGAUAUGUAAGUCAGUGGUGAAAUCUCUGGGCUUAACCCGGAAAUUGCCAUUGAUACUAUAUAUCUUGAAUGCUGUGGAGGUAAGCGGAAUAUGUCAUGUAGCGGUGAAAUGCUUAGAUAUGACAUAGAACACCUAUUGCGAAGGCAGCUUACUACGCAGAUAUUGACGCUCAUGCACGAAAGCGUGGGGAUCAAACAGGA